CACACACACACACACACACACACACAGGCACUGCUUUGUUCUUUUAUCCUACCGCUGUAAAGUCGAUGCUCUUGCAUGUUUUCGAAGCCCUUAUUUCUACUAGUUAUUUAUUUCUGAUAGUUAUUUAUUUCUUCCUCACUCCGUGAUUAGCAAGAAACAGAACCGGAGAGAGAGCGAGAGAGAGAGAGAUUUUUCCACCGCUUGUCAUGUCAGAUCAGAGGAACAUCUUCCCUGACGCUUCGCUAAUGACGAGUCUCCAUGUCUCUGCUGUUUCUGGCUGUCAUUCCUUAAUAAGCGGCGAGGCUGGAGCCAGCUAGCUCGCCCGCUUAGCGAUAUAAGGUCAGGCUGUCAUCGCUAGUCCUUUCCGGAGCUCUAUUAUUCAAGGAAUAACCUCAAAACCGCAUCGGAAAAAAGAAGGAAUAACAGCCUCUGAGACGAUAAUCCCGGAACGUCGAAGCAAUAAUUAAAGAAAGGUGGAGGAGAGAAGAUGGAUGGCUCGACUAUCUCAUCCGUGCCUGUCCGUAUCUUCUGGGAGACGAGUAAUCUGUUCCCAAGCUCAUUUCAGGAGCUCUGCUAGCUCUGCAUAAAAGUCAAUAAUAAAAUAAAAUGUAAUUAUGCCAUUGUAACACAUCUCUCUCGCUCUCUCUCUCUCUCUCGCUUGCGUAUCUCGAUGGUAUUUGAAUAAUGAAUUAUGCUCACGUUAAUGCGCCAGGAACAGCGAAAUGUCAUUACAGGGCUGUCAGGGGCUCAAAACACGGCAUGCUCUCUAACAGGUCGGAGUGGAGGAUCUCCUGCUAUAGAGCUCCAAC